GACGAACGCUGGCGGCGUGCCUAACACAUGCAAGUCGAACGGGGUCCAUGGGAGCUUGCUCCCGGAAGACCUAGUGGCGAACGGGUGAGUAACACGUGAGAAACCUGCCCUGGAGUGGGGAAUAACUCGGGGAAACUCGAGCUAAUACCGCAUACCCUCGGAUGGUCGCAUGGCCGACCGAGGAAAGAUUUAUCGCUUCAGGAGGGUCUCGCGGCCUAUCAGCUAGUUGGUGGGGUAACGGCCUACCAAGGCAACGACGGGUAGCUGGUUUGAGAGAACGAUCAGCCACACUGGGACUGAGACACGGCCCAGACUCCUACGGGAGGCAGCAGUGGGGAAUCUUGCGCAAUGGGCGAAAGCCUGACGCAGCAACGCCGCGUGCGGGAUGACGGGCCUUCGUGGUUGUAAACCGCUUUCAGCAGGACGAAAAUGACGGUACCUGCAGAAGAAGCCCGGCGUAACUACGUGCCAGCAGCCGCGGUAAU
rnacentral:rRNA from 1 species